rnacentral:rRNA from 1 species
UACGUAGGGUGCAAGCGUUGUCCGGAAUUAUUGGGCGUAAAGAGCUCGUAGGCGGUUUGUUGCGUCGGCUGUGAAAUCCCGAGGCUCAACCUCGGGUCUGCAGUCGAUACGGGCGGACUUGAGUACUGCAGGGGAGACUGGAAUUCCUGGUGUAGCGGUGAAAUGCGCAGAUAUCAGGAGGAACACCAACAGCGAAGGCAGAUCUCUGGGACGUUACUGACGCUGAGACGCGAAAGCGUGGGGAGCAAACAGG